rnacentral:rRNA from 1 species
AUGACUCCAAAUUGUAAUUGCUAUCUUGAGGACGGGCAAUCUUGUGUAACUGAAAGCAUACACAAAUCUUUCAUCGUGCCAUUGUUUGUUCUGCAAGCACCUAGCACUGUAAUCUCAUGGAUCAAUUAUCCUAUGGUGUCUAUUCCUAAUUUUAGGAGUGAAUAUGGGAUGUGGACUGCUUUUCUUGCGCUUGCAGUGCGUUUGUUCUUACCCUUUCCAGGUGACCUAGAGCUUCCGCAGUCAACAAUGCUGGCGGUCAGCGUUGCUCCUUACCAGGUGAUGAAUGUGAGAUGA